CGUUGUCCGAAGUGUUAAUUUAUUGUGAUAGUCUGCAGCUAUUACAAAAUUGAGAAUCGUUACCACAAUGGUGAGAGACGAUAAUUAAGGCACGAACACAGAAUGAUUAGAGAGCUCUAAAAGGAACGGUUAAAGUAUAUCGUGCACGUACUGAUAAAGAAUUAGUCAAUCCUUUGACGAAAGGAAUUACUAGAAAGAAAGUCCUAAACACAUCCAAUAGGAUGGGACUAAUGCCCAAAGGUCACAAGUGAUGGUAACCCGACCUACAUGAUUGGAGAUCCCAAGAAAUAGGUUCAAUGGGUAAUAACAAGUCAUGAGUGAUAGAACAUGCUAUGAGAAAAGUAAGAAAGCAUGAUUCCUGCAGUGACAGAAGGAUGAGAUAAUAGAAACUCUUAAUGAGAUCUAUACUCUAUGUGGAGUGGAGUACCUAGCUACAGGAGUACUCUUGAUAGACUCACCUAUACGAAUGUGGAACUUAGGCCGAUUCCUAUGGUAUUCGG
rnacentral:lncRNA from 1 species